rnacentral:rRNA from 1 species
UUAAAUUGAAGAGUUUGAUCAUGGCUCAGAUUGAACGCUGGCGGCAGGCCUAACACAUGCAAGUCGAACGGUAACAGGAAUCAGCUUGCUGAUUCGCUGACGAGUGGCGGACGGGUGA